UACAGAGGUCUCAAGCGUUGUUCGGAUUCAUUGGGCGUAAAGGGUGCGUAGGCGGCUCGGUAAGUCGGGUGUGAAAUCUCGGGGCUUAACUCCGAAACUGCAUUCGAUACUGCCGUGCUUGAGGACUGGAGAGGAGACUGGAAUUUACGGUGUAGCAGUGAAAUGCGUAGAUAUCGUAAGGAAGACCAGUGGCGAAGGCGAGUCUCUGGACAGUUACUGACACUGAGGCACGAAGGCCAGGGGAGCAAACGGG
rnacentral:rRNA from 1 species